rnacentral:rRNA from 1 species
UACGUAGGGUGCAAGCGUUAAUCGGAAUUAUUGGGUUUAAAGGGUGCGUAGGCGGCUUUGUAAGUCAGUGGUGAAAUAUGGCAGCUCAACUGUCAGGGUGCCAUUGAUACUGCAGAGCUUGAGUACAGAUGAGGUAGGCGGAAUUGACGGUGUAGCGGUGAAAUGCUUAGAUAUCGUCAAGAACACCGAUAGCGAAGGCAGCUUACUGGGCUGUAACUGACGCUGAGGCACGAAAGUGUGGGGAUCAAACAGG